CGGCAACGUUAGGAAGUCCGGAGACGUCGGCGGGGGCCUCGGGAAGAGUUAUCUUUUCUGUUCAACAGCCUGCCACCCUGGAAACGGCUCAGCCGGAGGAAGGGUCCAGCGGCUGGAAGAGCACCGCACGUUUUGUGGUGUCCGGCGCGUCCCCGGCGGCCCUUGAAAAUCCGGAGGACUUAGUGCCGACCACGCCCGGUCGUACUUAUAACCGCAUUAGGUCUCCAAGGUGAACAACCUUUAGUCGAUGGAACAAUGUAGGCAAGGGAAGUCGACAAAAUGGAUCCGUAAC
rnacentral:ncRNA from 1 species